GCCUGCAAGGGUGAGGUCACAGCAGCAUGACACAAUUAAUUCAUUAUUUUAUUAAGACAUAACAAUUAUUUCAAUAUUUCAAUUUAUUUACAAUAAUUCGUUUUUGCUUUGUGCAACAAAAAAAAAUUACAAAUAAGUACAUGCAUUUAUUUCACACAAUUUUAAUAGAGUUUCAACACAUUAAUUAAAUGGACAAAUGUGAUGCUAUUUAAGUAAUUAGGCUGAUGAAUCACAUAAUUCAAAAUUGCACUCACAGCUGUAUAUAAAGGGAAGACAAACGUUGCAAAUUGUUUAAAAAAAAAUGGAUGCAAAAAGAAAACCAAACUGGUCCAAGGAAGAAAAUCUUCUAGUGCAGUCAGUCCUUAAAUGGAAGGAUGUGAUAAGAGGAAAAUUCAGUCCAACUUUAACAAGCAAAGAAAAAAAAAAUGCAUGGCAACAGAUUGUUUUGACAGUAAAUGCAGCAUUUCCUCGGACAAGACGUUCAGCAGAGGAUUGUGAGAAAAGGUGGUACAAUGUGUUGGCAACAACACGCAUGGAAAUUGCAGAAUAUAAAGAAAGCAUGCGAGCCACAGGUACAUUUUAUUUUAGCUUAUUAAACCAUUUUAUAUUAAAUGAUUGUCUCCAUGUGGUCAGCAGCUGCGUUCUUGUCAAACAGGUGGGGGCCCUCCAUGUAAACCUCUGUCUGAGAUUGGUGAAAUAGUAGAGGAGAUACUUGGAAUGGCCAAUCCCUCUAUUUGUGGCAUUCCAGAUGCCCCAGACCCUGCACUUCUCAAAUUGAAGGAGUUACAAAGAUGUGUGGAUAAUUCUGGAGCCGGUCCAUCAGAUGCAUCUUCUCCUGUAUCAUCUCAGGACAUCUCCGUGUGUCCUCCAGAUGAGCCUUCUUCCGCACAAGACACUGGAUUUGCACAGGGCGCAGCCACUGAGGAUCACAUUGAGUCCCUUAAAAGAAAAAAGCUCAAAUUGCAAAUUAAGUUGCUGGAAAUUCAAAAUGAAUAUUACUCAUUAAAACUGAAAAGAAUUAAGAAUACUCAAUGAUUGUAAAUAUGCUUUGUGUAAUAAAAUUGUGUAAGGAAAAAUU